rnacentral:rRNA from 1 species
AUUGAACGCUGGCGGCAGGCCUAACACAUGCAAGUCGAGCGGAUGAAGGGAGCUUGCUCCUGGAUUCAGCGGCGGACGGGUGAGUAAUGCCUAGGAAUCUGCCUGGUAGUGGGGGAUAACGUCCGGAAACGGGCGCUAAUACCGCAUACGUCCUGAGGGAGAAAGUGGGGGAUCUUCGGACCUCACGCUAUCAGAUGAGCCUAGGUCGGAUUAGCUAGUUGGUGGGGUAAAGGCCUACCAAGGCGACGAUCCGUAACUGGUCUGAGAGGAUGAUCAGUCACACUGGAACUGAGACACGGUCCAGACUCCUACGGGAGGCAGCAGUGGGGAAUAUUGGACAAUGGGCGAAAGCCUGAUCCAGCCAUGCCGCGUGUGUGAAGAAGGUCUUCGGAUUGUAAAGCACUUUAAGUUGGGAGGAGGGGCAGUAAGUUAAUACCUUGCUGUUUUGACGUUACCAACAGAAUAGGCACCGGCUAACUUCGUG